rnacentral:lncRNA from 1 species
CUAUCAAUUACUUACACACUCUAAAGUGUAUAUAAGGCAGGGGGUCAAGAAGUUAACCAAAGGCAGUUAUGGACUAAGGGAAUGUAGGGAACAUCAACCACAGAUUACAAAGUUGUAAGCCGGUGAACCAAACAAUUAUGAACCUUAGUGAUACUUUUAGUUAAAAUAAUACAAUUUUUAAUUAAAUUUGUUUUAUCAGUUUAUUUACUCGCCCGCCCGUAGGGCGGGUUUACCCUAGU